CUCAACCCUGGCUGCACCCUGGAAUCACCCGGAGAGUUUUAAAACAUACUGUCCCACCCCCAGAGGUCCUGACGGUUUGACUCUGAUCAUUUUGGCCUUCAUUGUCCUCGAGGUUGACCUGUAGCGUGUCAAAGAACAACUUAUUCUGCCGCUUGUUAAAGACGUGUCUACCUCUGCCUCACGUGACUCAGAAGAAGGGAGCAUAUCUCCAUCUUCAAGGAUAGAGCCUGAUUUCGUAAUCCCAGUCCUUUCCAAUGAAUAUUUAGUAAAGGUCACGUGACUCCGUAUUGGCCAAUGAGAAGUGAGAAGUUUGCUGAACAUCUCCAGGAAAGUAAUCUUUGCUCCUCAGAAAGAGUCAGCCUGGAUAUGUCUGUGUCUGGAAGUGACACCUGGAACUGCUGCUCUGAUCUUGCUACUGACACAAUAAUAAAAUCCAUCGAGAUGGGGGAUGGAAAGAACCUGGGUCCUGGGAGACUUUGUUGAGGUUGAGUCUGCUGACUGCCCCUGAACGCUGAACUUCCAGUUAUGUGAAGGAGUGAUUAUCUCAAUGGCCUGGAGUUUUCCAUUACUUGCAGCCCGAAGCAUCCUGAAUGCUAUUUGUGGUAGACAGCUUUCAGAGGUACAAACCAUCACUCCGGCCACUCCUUCCAUCAACAGCUGGAUUUAUUUCCUCUUCUGCUUGAUCUGGGAUGGCCUGUGACUUGCUUUAACCAGUGAAAUGUGGUGGAAGUGACACUAUGCCAGUUCCAGGCCCAUCUUUUGGGAGGCUGCGUCAUGCAAUCAAAAAUCCUCAGGCUAGACCCCUGGAUGAUGAGAGGCCACGUGGAGCAGCCUGAGGGGCCAGAAUCGUGAGUGAAGGCUUCUGGAACCUUCCUGCCCAGGUGAGUGACUAGCCAAUGCCACAUGGAGCAGAAAAACUGCCCAAAUUCAGGACCCAUGGUAUCAUGAAAAAUCUUAAUUGUUGUGGAGUUAAGCCACUGUGUUUUGGGGUCAUGUGUCACCCAGCCUUAGGUAACCAAACAUUUACGACAUGUUUUUGGCAGCUAUGUUUAAGGAGGUUCCCUUUUAUUCCAGUUUUCUUAGGUCAUUUUUGAUCAUAAAUAGGAGUUG